AAUUUAGUUACUCACAGCUAAUCCGUCGCGGUGUUUCUAUCGCACCAUAGGGUUUGCGGCAGUUGCGCGGCCCUCCGACGAUCGCGUAAUGGCGUGGGGGCGACGAAACCGUGGGAUUGGAUGUAGCCUCCGCCAGCCUCCAUGUCAGCGAGCGCAUCGGCAGGGACGUCGCCGGCCGCCUCGACCUCGAGGAGGCUAUCGAAGCCUUGCUCUAUACUAGCCUCCCCCUACUCCACCCUCCCCAAAGAGGAACUCCUGUUCUUAUAGGAGAAAAGGAAAUUUUGGAGAAGUAUAUUUAGGUUGCUUCUGUUAGAAAGUUUGUAGAUUCACUGAUAUUGCUACUAUGACAAUCCAGAUUAUUCUGUGUGAAGCUCUUUCUAGUGGUGGAGUUGCAGAAGCAUGUUCUGUAGUAAAGAGGGUCGGUUCAAAUAUCUAUAUUGGAGUGGAGGGUCGCUUGACUUUAGAGAUUAUUUGUCUUCAUCUUGAAAUGGAUGCUUAGCAAUGUAUGAAUAUUCUACAAACAGACCUCAUCAUACGUUCCAGAGCCCUUCUUGCUGCUUGUAAGGUUGAACCAAAGCCUGUAUUAAGCACAUAUGAUCAGCUUUUAUCAUAUGAUAUUGUCGUACUCUGUGUGUGGGUUGGGUCUGUAUUUGCACAUACAUUAAGGACCACAGCUGUUGGCACUUCUCCAAUCCUUGGUGGAUUACUCUUGUUACAACAGACAGCAAUCAUCAAGCAAGGAGCUCGAGAUAAGAUAACCAGUUUAGCAAAUGGGCAUACUUCCACAAAAUCUGACGGAGCCAGAUUACAAAGGCUUUUAGAGAACUUGAAGAAACAACUUUAGCAACACUCUGAAAGUUGUUGGAAAAGUUUACCCGCACAAGGAGACUUUGUAUUGUUGUAACACUGCCUCGUAUCACAUUUGAUCAAUCAAAAUUUUACCUGGAUCCAGCAAAGCUCCAUCGGCCCACUGAAGUGUAGGCCGUGCAUGCUGACUGAAGGUUUCAGUUUAACACAUUUGGAUCGUAAUGCUUGUUGCAGGGCUGCAACUUGGGUGGGUGUCGAAUUUGAGCGACUCUGCAGGUUUUUCCCAUUCGUGCCGCAAGAGCUCCCAAAAAGCAAAAGACAGUGGCAGGGAAUGGAGUAUGGACCCUGGCGGUGCAUGCUGUUCCUAUCAUGCACAGUUUGGCUGCUGCUGCUGACUUAGCUUCGCAUCAUUGACACGGCAUGUUCCAUCAAGUCUUAUUGACGAUGGUAUUUUAAUUGCCCAUCAUCAGCCAUCCACUUUUCACAUCAAAAACCAAGGGCCUGACGACACGCAGCUACCAGCCAUUUGUGGACACUUGUUGCAUUCCGGGCUCCUCUUCUCUGCAUGCCUAUGGCAAAAUUUGAUAUCUGGAAGAGACGAAUUCGUAUCUGAACUCCACUUCAUUUCGGGGCACAGGAAUAAAAAUAAAUCAUGCGUGCAUUUGUUUGGUUGAUGCAUGCGUAAAGUUUCUACAGACCAAAAAAAAAAAAAGGGUCUAUUCACGAAGAGAAUUAAGGAAGUAUGUCGACUUGUGCGUGCAAGGACUUGCACGCGCUACUUGUGCGAAUUUAUUCCAGUUUGGUGCUUUGAUGAUUAAAUAUUAUGCCUACUCGUGUGUCGUGUGUGCCUAUAUGCAUGUGUAUAGAAUUGCAUAUGUUCUCUCGGGACGGUGCGAUUGUUAAGACAUGAGAUGUUAUCAUAUGAGGUCUUGGGAUCGAAACUCGGCGUGAUCCAACAUAAUCUCUCCCAUGUCUUGGUCAUUUGUACUAAUGGUUAGUAGCCAUCUGUGAUUUACCUCCUCCGUGUUAAUCUAGGGACGAGUUGGCGGGAGCGUUGGGGGCGAGCGAAUCAUCUUUAUACCACGUGUAUAGAAUUGCAUAUGAUAAUUGUGUGUAUUUAUCUCAUUUUGGCGGUCUAACAAUUCGGUAUAUUAUGCCAACUGGUGUGUGUAUUUUAUACCAUCUUAAUACUUUCGUGAUUCUGUGCUA